UCCCUGGUGGCUCAGUGGUAAAGAAUCUGCCUGCCAAUGCAGGAGACACAGGUUUGAUUCCUGGUCAGGGAA
rnacentral:tRNA from 1 species